UACGUAGGUGGCAAGCGUUGUCCGGAUUUACUGGGCGUAAAGAGCGCGCAGGCGGUCGUGCAAGUCGCGUGUGAAAGCCCCCGGCUCAACUGGGGAGGGUCACGCGAUACUGUUCGACUCGAAGGCAGGAGAGGGAAGCGGAAUUCCCGGUGUAGUGGUGAAAUGCGUAGAUAUCGGGAGGAACACCAGUGGCGAAGGCG
rnacentral:rRNA from 1 species